AUUGAACGCUGGCGGCAGGCCUAACACAUGCAAGUCGAACGAGUGGCGGAAGGGUGAGUAAUGUAUGGGAAACUGCCUGAUGGAGGGGGAUAACUAAUGGAAACGGUAGCUAAUAACGCAUACCAUAGGAUGUGCCCAGAUGGGAUUAGCUAGUAGGUGGGGUAAAGGCUCACCUAGGCGACGAUCCCUAGCUGGUCUGAGAGGAUGACCAGCCACACUGGAACUUCGACACGGUCCAGACUCCUACGGGAUGCAGCAGUGGUGAAUAUUGCACAAUGGUCGCAAGCCUGAUGCAGCCAUGCCGCGUGUAUGAAGAAGGCCUUCGUGUUGUAAAGUACUUUCAGCGGGUAGGCGUUACCCGCAGAAGAAGCACCGGCUAACUCCGUGCCAGCAGCCGCGGUAAUUC
rnacentral:rRNA from 1 species